GUGCUUGCACCGCGAUAACCAUGGCGGACGGGUGAGUAACGCGUAAAGAACUUGCCUCUUAGUCUGGGAUUACAGAUGGAAACGACUGAUAAGACUAGAUAUUAUUAAAGCUUCGCAUGAAGCUUUAAUGAAAAGAGAUGCUAAGAGAGAGCUUUGCGUCCUAUUAGUUAGUUGGUGAGGUAACGGCUCACCAAGACGAAGAUAGGUAGCCGGUCUGAGAGGAUGAACGGCCACAAGGGGACUGAGAUACGGCCCUUACUCUUACGGGAGGCAGCAGUGGGGAAUAUUGGACAAUGGAGGAGACUCUGAUCCAGCAAUUCUGUGUGCACGAAGACGGUUUUCGGAUUGUAAAGUGCUUUCAGCAGGGAAGAAGAAAGUGACGGUACCUGCAGAAGAAGCGACGGCUAAAUACGUGCCAGCAGCCGCGGUAAUACGUAUGUCGCGAGCGUUAUCCGGAAUUAUUGGGCAUAAAGGGCAUCUAGGCGGAUAUACAAGUCAGGGGUGAAAACUUAGGGCUCAACUCAAAGCUUGCCAUUGAAACUGUAUAUCUAGAGUGCUGGAGAGGUGGACGGAACUACACGAGUAGAGGUGAAAUUCGUAGAUAUGUGUAGGAAUGCCGAUGAUGAAGAUAGUCCACUGGAC
rnacentral:rRNA from 1 species